rnacentral:rRNA from 1 species
CCCUUAGAUGUCCUGGGCGGCCCGCGCGCUACAAUGUCAGCUACUGAAGGUUAAUGCUUUGAAAGAGAGCGCGCUCUCCUUUUAAUUGCUCGCAUGCUGGGAUAAAUGAAUGCAAUUUUGUUUUGAACGAGGAAUUCCUAGUAGCCAUGUUUCACUAGAAGAUGGCGAAUGCGUCCCUGCCCUUUGUACACACCGCCCGUCGCUCCUACCGAUGAGCGUUUUGGCGAAGACGGUUUGAGUAGCUGCGUAAUUUCGUGUUGUUGACUCCGGCAGUUUGAGCCUUCCCGUUUAGAGGAAGGAGAAGUCGUAACA